rnacentral:lncRNA from 1 species
UUUGACAUUUUAAAACUUUUCACUGUUAGUUUUUCCAUAGAAAAAGUUAUAAAACUUGUUUUUUUUACUCAAAUUUUUUUCUAGACAAUGAUUAUGGCCAUGUUUUAUAAAUUGAUACCUAAAGAAUCAUAUCUUAAAAAUUUUUGAUUGGUAAACACUUUUAAUAACAAUUUGAUUAAAGAUAUUUCUAAAAAAGCAAAACAUCAUACCUGUUAGAUUAUUUCAACUUCAUGUAAACGCUUUUGAUAUACACUAUAAAAACACUUUGUUAAACAGAGUAUCCGUAUCAAACUACUUUUAGUUACACAAUAUAUCAAAAACUAUUAAUAAUAGUUUUAGCUUCAAUUUGAAUAUUUACAAUUAGAUCAAUCACAUACUCGUAACACAAGAAAGAAAAUCAACUAGACACGUGGUUCCGCCGGAAUAUGGGAUUACGGUCUAUACCCGCGGUAAUCUCGCUUCUCUUGCUCUUAUUUCAUUGUCUUCCAACAUAAUUACAACCUUCUUAGAUCGGAUUACCGAUUUGACUAAUUGAUACUUGAAAAACUUACUGAGCUAUACACACACUGGGAGACAACUUUUAAUCGAUCUUUUAACAAAGUACAGUUUAGAACUCUCUCUUUCUUUAACAGAAUUAAGAUAUGAAAUCUCUAAUCUUUGAAGUUUUCUUUCUAAGGGUUUUGUUGUGCUAUCGGAUCCAGAUCUAAUCUACAAUCAAUGAAACUUAUUAUUAAGAUGGAAAACAUGAAUUGAAAUCAGAAAGAUGAAAUCAAGAAACAUGAUAACCCUGUAAUCAGAAAGAUUAAAGAUGAAAUCAGAAAAAUCCAGAUCUAAUCUACAUUCAACGAAACUCAUUAGAAAGAUGGAAAACUGAAAAGCUGGAAGCUUGAAAUCAGAAAGAUGAAAUUAGGAAACAUGAAACCAGAAAGAUGGAACCUAGAAAUCAGAAAGAUUAAAGAUGAAAUCAGAAAAAAUGCAGUUAAUUUACAAUCAUAUAUACUUAGAAGAUUAGGAAUUUGAAGUUAGAUUUUAGAACCUUUGAAUCUCGAUAGAGAUGGUAGCGGCUGAGGAGGCGCCGGAGGUGAGCGGUCGUGGUGGAAGCGUCGGAGGACAGCAAUCAAUGACAUGGAUUAAGUGCCUACGUUUGGUGUGGCCGGAGAGGGCGGCAUCCGACCGGAGAUGGAGGCCACCGAAGGAAUCAUGAUGUAAACGCGUGUUCUGGAGCAGGGUAGCGAAUUUAUUUCAAAAUAUCCUUGUUUGGUAAAUAUGUUUAAAAGUACACCUUUUAGGUAAAUAAUUUUUUAAAAAACACCCAUUUGGUUAAAAACUCCC